UACGUAGGGUGCGAGCGUUAAUCGGAAUACUGGGCGUAAAGCGUGCGCAGGCGGUUUUGUAAGACAGCUGUGAAAUCCCCGGGCUCAACCUGGGAACUGCGGUUGUGACUGCAAGACUGGAGUGUGGCAGAGGGGGGUGGAAUUCCACGUGUAGCAGUGAAAUGCGUAGAGAUGUGGAGGAACACCGAUGGCGAAGGCAGCCCCCUGGGUCAACACUGACGCUCAUGCACGAAAGCGUGGGGAGCAAACAGG
rnacentral:rRNA from 1 species